AGUGAACGCUGGCGGUAGGCCUAACACAUGCAAGUCGAACGGCAGCACAGUAAGAGCUUGCUCUUACGGGUGGCGAGUGGCGGACGGGUGAGGAAUACAGCGGAAUCUACUUUUUCGUGGGGGAUAACGGAGGGAAACUUACGCUAAUACCGCAUACGACCUACGGGUGAAAGCAGGGGAUCUUCGGACCUUGCGCGAUUGAAUGAGCCGAUGUCGGAUUAGCUAGUUGGCGGGGUAAAGGCCCACCAAGGCGACGAUCCGUAGCUGGUCUGAGAGGAUGAUCAGCCACACUGGAACUGAGACACGGUCCAGCCUCCUACGGGAGGCAGCAGUGGGGAAUAUUGGACAAUGGGCGCAAGCCUGAUCCAGCCAUACCGCGUGGGUGAAGAAGGCCUUCGGGUUGUAAAGCCCUUUUGUUGGGAAAGAAAAGCAGCAGGUUAAUACCCCGCUGUUCUGACGGUACCCAAAGAAUAAGCACCGGCUAACUUCGUG
rnacentral:rRNA from 1 species